GAGGAAUGAUGACAAAAUGUUGCGGUCUCGUAUGAUAUGAUUAUUUUGUUACAUUUAUUUCUGAUACUC
rnacentral:snoRNA from 1 species